rnacentral:tRNA from 2 species
CCCUGGUUAGCUCAGUUGGUAGAGUGCUCCCCUGAGAAUGGAGAGGUCCCGGGCUCGAUACCCGGAUCAGGCG